rnacentral:rRNA from 1 species
AUUGAACGCUGGCGGCAGGCUUAACACAUGCAAGUCGAGCGAGCGGCGGACGGGUGAGUAAUGUCUGGGAAACUGCCUGAUGGAGGGGGAUAGCUACUGGAAACGGUAGCUAAUACCGCAUACAAUAGCAUGUGCCCAGGUGGGAUUAGCUAGGAGGUGGGGUAAAGGCUCACCUAGGCGACGAUCCCUAGCUGGUCUGAGAGGAUGACCAGCCACACUGGAACUGAGACACGGUCCAGACUCCUACGGGAGGCAGCAGUGGGGAAUAUUGCACAAUGGGCGAAAGCCUGAUGCAGCCAUGCCGCGUGUGUGAAGAAGGCCUUCGGGUUGUAAAGCACUUUAAGCUAGGAGGCGUUACCCGCAGAAGAAGCACCGGCUAACUCCGUGCCAGCAGCCGCGGUAAUAC